GGUCCGCACAUGCAGUGGAGCAUGUGGUUUAAGUCGAUGCAACGCGAAGAACGUUACGUGGGCAUGAAACGCAGUGGACUUGAAUGUGAAAGCAUUCUUCUCUUCGGAGUCGCUGUACAGGUGCUGCAUGGCUGUCGCCAGCUCGUGCCGUGAGGUGUUGGGUUAAGUCCCGCAACGAGCGCAACCCUUACCAUUAGUUGCCAUCAGGUUAAGCUGGGCACUUUAAUGGGACUGCUUACGCAAGUAGUGAGGAAGGUGGGGAUGACGUCAAGUCAGCAUGGCCCUUACGCCCAGGGCUACACACGUGAUACAAUGGGUGCAACAACGGGUUGCUAAGCCGCAAGGUGGAGCCAAUCCCUUAAAUGCAUCCUCAGUUCGGAUUGGAGUCUGCAACUCGACUCCAUGAAGUCGGAAUUGCUAGUAAUCGCGCAUCAGCACGGCGCGGUGAAUACGUUCCCGGGCCUUGUACACACCGCCCGUCAAGCCAUGGAAGCCGGGGGUACCCAAAGUCGGUGACCCAACCCUUC
rnacentral:rRNA from 2 species